CUUAGGCAAAAGUUGUUGAUUCAUACUCAACGCCAAAAGAUAAAUCCAUAUCCACAAUGCUAUGUUGUUGUCUAGAAAGCGAACAUUUCAUGCGUGUGCAAGUUUGCGCCUGCAAGACGAUUGACAUAGACAAAGUGGUCUUUGUACCAAAGUCCUGUGGCAAAGCCACUAGCCCCUGUGGAGGUAAGAAAUUCUUUCGGCCAUAAAACUCUUUAUGUAAAAGUCUUUUCCUCCACAAUUUAUGUGUCCCUUUUACUUCACAUGGUAAUUGGAAAUAUCAAUAUUCUACUUGGAUUAAUAAUAUCAAUAAUCCACACAUACAAUGUCAAGAUCCCAUAUUUCGAUAGAAGGUCCUAUUGAGCCAACAGCUUUCACCAAGCUUUGAAAAGAAAAAGCAUCAGAUUUCUUUGGAGACCCACCUAUCCCAUCUAUUUGACUAUUUCCCCGCCGCCACACAAAUAUCAUCUCAUAUCUCUCUCUUGGCUGGCCAACUAAGCAUAAACACAAACACACUCCUCACACCUCUCUCUCACUCUCUCGCCGGUGCUCACUCCACCAUUGUUUUUCUGACGGGAUUCACCCGAAAACACCAUAUAUAGGAAGCUCUUAGGCUCCACUAUCUCAUUUUUUUAAGGUUUUUGUGGCUAGCAAUAGUUAGACAACUACUGAUGGAGGCUGGACUUUUGUGGCAAUGAUCCUUAGGUGUUGUACAUUCUAGAGAAUACUUGACACAUUUUUUUGUAACUAAUAGUAGUGAUGACUUUUAUCCCUAAUGGGACAAGUUAUUGAUGUGUAAUUAUAAUUUUUCAAACCUCCAUUCUUUUGUGGUCAGUGGUCCUUAUAAUUAUUUAGACCUUUAACUUACUUUGGAAGCACUCUUAAUGAAA